GAUCCUGGCUUAGGAUGAACGCUGGCGGCGUGCUUAACACAUGCAAGUCGAACGAAGCACCUCUAAUCGAAGAUGAGAAAGCUUGCUUUGAUUGAUCACCUGAGGUGACUGAGUGGCGGACGGGUGAGUAACGCGUGGGUAACCUACCCUAUACAGGGGGAUAACAGUUGGAAACGACUGCUAAUACCGCAUAAGCGCACAGGACCGCAUGGUCUAGUGUGAAAAACUCCGGUGGUAUAGGACGGACCCGCGUCUGAUUAGCUAGUUGGUGAGGUAACGGCUCACCAAGGCGACGAUCAGUAGCCGACCUGAGAGGGUGACCGGCCACAUUGGGACUGAGACACGGCCCAAACUCCUACGGGAGGCAGCAGUGGGGAAUAUUGCACAAUGGGCGGAAGCCUGAAUGCAGCGACGCCGCGUGAACGAAGAAGUAUUUCGGUAUGUAAAGUUCUAUCAGCAGGGAAGAAAAAUGACGGUACCUGACUAAGAAGCUCCGGCUAAAUACGUGCCAGCCGCCGC
rnacentral:rRNA from 1 species